UACAAACUGCUCAAUUAUUGCUCUUCCAAAAGAAAAUUAUAAUUGAAUGGGAACAGAUCAUUGACACAGAACAACAAAAUGCAGAAAUUAGAACAAUUUAUUAUAAACAUUUGCAGAAUAUAAACUGAUUUUGUAUAAAGAUUCUUUGAAACUUUUAAAACUAUAGGUAACCUAUAGUUUUAAAAUAAAAUAAUUAUUAUUAAUCAUUAUUAUUAUAAUGUAUUUCAUUUUCCACUUUCCAAUCUAGAAAAUACACUAAGUUAGAUCUAACAAAGGAAAAAAAAAAUCAAUCUAAAUUGCCUCAUAGAGAAAACUAAUGAAUAUGAAAAUACCCCACACAAAACUAUAACAAACCCAAACAAGAAAUAGAUUCUGCAAAGCCCAUUAAUCCUCCAAUUUAAAAUAAAUGACCUCCUGAGAAAAAAAUACUUCCACCAGCAUAGCAAUUUGAUGAAUAAAAGCAGAGCUACUCUCAUGAAGAGAAAUUACAUUAUAUAUAAGAAAAAUGUAAUAAUGCUUUUAGAAAAUGAGGAAAAAGGAAAAGUAAUUUCUAUGUUGGAGAGUAAACAUACUAAAUACUUCCUGUUCACUUGGCCUUUGUUAGAAGUUAAAAUACCUGUUCACAUGCGAAAAGUGAUAUGAACAUGAACAUCAUAAAACCAAGGUCCUCAACUAUUUUUUCAAUUUAACCUCAGGAGAACCAACUCAAGAGAUUCAAAAUCCAAGGAUAGACUGGUCCCAAAGCAUUUCCUCCUCUGUUCUUUCUUUGCCUUCUUCCUUUUUCUCUUUUCUAUGCUUACGUUCCUCUUUCUUAGAGGCUACAUCUUGACUUUUUUUCUCCUUUCGAUUCUUAAGCUUUUGUGUACUGACCCUGACUGUUUCUACCUCUUUUUUGUUUCUUUGGAUGCUCUUGUGUUUGUCU